GCCUAUCCCUUUAAUAUAAGGAAACCCUAAACCUACUAAUGCCUAUAAGUAGAACAGCUUCAUUAUAUCUAUGACCUACUCUAUCUGCCAAGGAGGCACAAGAUGGGAUGUCUCAAAAAUACAUUUUCCAUGUAAGAAGCCAUGCUUGUAGUCGUUGAUGCCGGGUUGAUCCAUAAAAGACGAGGGACUUUCUGAAGAAGUUUGUUUUUGGUGCAAUCCUAUAAAAAGGAGCAGUAUUUAUAAAAGAACUUCAUGAAUGUGAUAAUCUGUGUUAGAUCAUGAGACGGGGGGAGGCAGUGGGAUGCCAUUCUUGAGGAAGAAAAAGGGUCCCAUGACAGUAGGUAGCUAAGGCAAGAUGCCUCGAUGGGUGAAUGGUUGUGUAGAAGUCAAACUGAGGGUUGCAGCAAUAUGAUCAGGGGCUGAUGAAGAGGAAUGGCCAUUAUUUCCAAAAUAGUAUAUAGAAUUGAAGGGACCAAAGUGUACAGUUCCUUUGGCAAGAGAGGAAGAAAGAAGACAGGGAUCGAGUAAUAAGAAGAGCAACAAACAAUGACGGCUGCUAAGGGAAGCCAUUGAGAAGCAGGAAUGAGUAAUGGAAAAGAGAAGAUGGGCUAUGUAGUAGCAGAGUAAUUAGUUUGUAAUGCAAAGCUCUAAAGAGGCAUGCUGUAUUUAUAGAGCAUAACAUGUUUUCCAAGGUUAUUUAGGGUUUUGUUUCUGUUGCAUUACCUUUCUUCUUUCAUUUAGCUCAAAUUCUAUACACAACUCCGGCUUUACAUGGAAACUGUACAAUCCGUUCCCUUUUCCUAUUUUCCGUGGGUGUAUGUAUGUGUCUGUUUUGAGGGGGAGAGAGAAAGAGAGUUGCUGC